rnacentral:rRNA from 1 species
ACGGGGACCCGCACAAGCGGUGGAUGAUGUGGAUUAAUUCGAUGCAACGCGAAGAACCUUACCUACCCUUGACAUGUCCGGAACUUGCCAGAGAUGGCUUGGUGCCCGAAAGGGAAUCGGAACACAGGUGCUGCAUGGCUGUCGUCAGCUCGUGUCGUGAGAUGUUGGGUUAAGUCCCGCAACGAGCGCAACCCUUAUCAUUAGUUGCUACGCAAGGGCACUCUAAUGAGACUGCCGGUGACAAACCGGAGGAAGUGGGGAUGACGUCAAGUCCUCAUGGCCCUUAUGGGUAGGGCUUCACACGUCAUACAAUGGUCGGUACAGAGGGUUGCCAAGCCGCGAGGCGGAGCCAAUCCCACAAAGCCGAUCGUAGUCCGGAUUGUUCUCUGCAACUCGAGAGCAUGAAGUCGGAAUCGCUAGUAGUCGUGGAUCAGCAUGUCACGGUGAAUACGUUCCCGGGUCUU